AAAGGAACAUCCCUUACAACUUUCACGUUUGUUCCGAUUCAUUCAGUCUAUUCAGCCCAAUUUUGUUUAGUUUCUGUAUGUAAACAUCACUACUGUUUAUGAGCAGUAUUUAAUUUUGUUUUAAAACAGCUUAAUUUUAUGAAGACCAUAAGCCUUUCUUCAUCCGAAAAGAAAAUGAUUCAGGCAUUGCACCUUGAUUUAUGCACACUAGAUUGGGUCAGUGUUAAGUGCUGCGUUUCAGGACCACUAAACAGCUGUCAUUCAUCUUGGUCAGUCUUUCUCAAGAAUAUUACACCACAGUUGCAGGCGUAUAAAUCACCAUUAACUUCUUCAGACUGCUUUAAACUGCUACAGAUCAUUGCUUGAAAUUCUGCAGACUUUUUACCCCCUGGAGUCCAUUGAGACGCGGCGGGGGUCUGCAGAGCCGCACUGCUUCUGGCUUUGUUAAACUGCACGAGUUUUCCUUGAUCUACAGGAAAAAGGCAUGCAGAUAACCCAGGUUCCUGCUACCAGGUGGUCCAAGGACUGUGUGUGCAAGCUGUGAAGUUCGUGCACAUGUGAACACGUCCAGCUUUGUGCUCAUGUGCAUACUUGUGUAUUCACGUUGCAGACAUACAAAACAGUUGUUGAGGCUGCAGAAGGGCUUGUUGUACCUUUGCGAGUGUUGUGCAUGCUGUGCUGGGAGAUGGCUGUCGGGUACGUUUCGUCUCCUUGGACUCUUCACCCACCCAGAGCGAGGUGUUUCAGCAGGAUGGAGCAGAGGUGAAGGGGCCCAGGCAGCAGAGGUCCAUGCUCUUGGCCUGGUUUUGUAAGGAGCAGUGUCUACAAAACCGCGCUGGCUGUGCACGUGGAUGUAUCUGAGAGUGUAUGCUGGGCUUCCACAGUGACUAUGAAAUGUCGCAUUUGCCAGCUUCAUCCAAAUUUGAUAGAAAGUGAGGAGGUCUCGAGGAUGUUAGCUUCCUAGAGGUGUGUGGGUAGAAGAUAGAAGAAACUGUCAGCUCAAAGAAAUCUCAUUGUUGACUCAGUGCUUAUUAUUAGACAUCAAACAGUCCACACAAGACCUCAUCCAGGUGAGACCUGUCCCUAGGAAACUUGAUUUCAAUGACAUGGGCCCACUGCUCAUGUCAGAGCCUCUUUCAUCUCCAUCUCUGGUCCCUCAGCUUGCAGAACUAGUGAUAUUUUUCUGAGGGAGGUUGUCAAGCUAUGAAGAAUAAAUGCAGGACGUCUGAAUGGUCA
rnacentral:lncRNA from 1 species